GGGUUUAAUAAAGACAAAAGUAUUCAGCAGUAAAUUAAUUCUGUAUAAAUAUGGAACAUGUAUUAAUAUUAAUAUCCUUUGGGUAAUUUUACAAUAAGUAACAGUACUGUAUCUGUUGUCUUUACUAUUUAAUGUUGUCUGAAACAUCUCGUCUACUGCUGUUUGUUUAUCAGACUGUUUUAUCGGAGAGUCAGAAGUGUCUCCUGGUGAUGUUGGGCUUCAGGGAUGAAUACAGCCUGGGUCUGUCUCAGGGGGCUGGUGGGACACGUGGGAAACCAAAUGAAUGUGUUUAAAACUUUCUGCAUUUUUAUCAGUUGGAAUGAUCAGAAUUCAGCAACGCUUCUAAAACAAGUGUCUUUCUGUCCCUUGUUCUCUCUUUCUCUCCCUCUUUCUCUCUCUGCCCCUCUCUCUCUCUGUCUUUCCCUUUCUCUCUUACUGCCCCUCUUUCGCUCUCUUUCCCUUUCUCUCUAUCUCCCCCUCUCUCUCUCUUUCUGUCUGUCCUCUUCUGUCUGUCUCUCUUUUUUUUGCCCCUCUCUCUCUGCCUCUUUCUCGUGCUCUCUCUAUCAGUUUGCUGUGAAUCCCUGAGCUAUCAUAGGAACACCUUAGAUGUGAAGGCAUUUAUAUAUUUAGACUGUUAGUAAAUUAUUCACAAUAUUGUGUUUUAUUGUUGAGCUCAAAAUCUAAUUAUUCUUUCUAUCUUUGUUCAUCCAAUCUUUUGUUCCAGAAACCCUGACUGUGGAAAUCAGCACAUAACUCGGCUAUUAAUUCGUUAUAAUUUACUUGAGCACAAUUGCAUUACAUGCUCGUUCCCAGGAGCUCCGGCUGUGACGUGGGUCGAUUUAUUUAGUAUUAAUUACAGUAGUCUGAACUAAAUAUCGGAAUGUUUAUGAUGUUGAAUUAUUGUGCUGUGAAGAAAUUGUACGUAAAGUUGUAGGGAUGGGGAUAUUAUCUUGUUCUUUCUUUUACUCCCUAGAACACCUGGCUGUGAGGUUGGAAGAUGCCCCACUGGAUUUUUCUUAAAUUAAAAUAGUGUCAGUAGUAAAUGAUUUAAUAAGCGAUAUUGCAAUACGUUAUCAUUGUAAUACGAUUGCUACUGUAGGUGUUUUCAUUGUUAGUUUAAGCUGUUCUGCCACUGAAUCACCUUCGUUUGUUCGCAGCGCUCUCGUCUCAAGGCCGUGGGUCGUUUAGAGACGUUUCUGUGGGUGUAAAGAAGGAAAUGCUUGCUCAGCAUCUGGGCAGAGUCACCUGUGAGCAAAGGUCAGGUUGGAAACUUGCUGAAGAUCAAGUUCCUGUUAAUCAGUAGAUCUAAAAUCGUUAAAAUACAUGUUCAGUGCAUCAUGGUGUUAAGUUUCAUCUACAGCCAAUUGAUACCCAACUGCCAGAGAAUCCCAGAGUUGGAGCCGAGUUUCUGAUGGCUGGAGAAGUCCGAGUUUUUAACCAAACCUCUGGCCAGGCCAUGGUUCAUGCCACCUGCAUCAGGAUCCAGAUGGUGUGGUCCUGCCUGUUUCCGGUGCCCAACUCGAGCUUACUCGCCAUCUCCUCUUUGAAUGCAUGCCCAGCUCGUUUGCUCGUUCCCGUUUUGUUUCGUCUUAGAGAACAGUGCUGCUCCUGCUCCACAGACUUGUUGCUGAAGAUCUGGGACUUAAAGCGGAACUGUGGCCACAGUAUUUUUGUCAAUUUUCAGCAAUGUGAAACCCCACGUUGAACUCCGUUUUCUGUACGGCUGUAGCGCCUUGCGUGUUUUCUUGGCUGCUCCAUAUGGAUUUUGUCUCAUCGUGGUACCGGAUUGAAGGAGAACAUGAAACGAACAAACUUGACCUUUUUCUUUCACACUAACCUCUCUAGGUCUCCAUGUCCUGAGUGAAGGAUGUGUGUACAUGUGUGAAAUGGUGGAUGGUGAAACUUGCAGUUGGGUCCUGUGUGUUCAGCUUUAACUAUCUUGAUGUUCUUGGAAGCUUGUACUGUGUUAAGCAUGUUUUUUUUUUUUUUGUUCUGCUAAAAGGUUUUUUGUGUGUGUGAAAUUGUACACUUUUUGUGUGAUAUGUUGAUUGUCUUCUCUUACUUGUUAGUCAUGUGCUGCUGUUUUUCUGAGUGUCUUGUUACCUCCAGCCCCCACCCCAAGGGGUUGUGGUUUUCUCCCCCUUGUCGUUGGUGUUUUUUUUGGUGUCUGGUGUGAAUUCUUGCUUUAUUCUUGUAGGGGGAUGGUGAAGAAAGCAGUCUUUUCUCUUUCUUCCGGCUCCUUCUGUGUAUCUGUCCUGAGCUUGACCUUGACUGUAUAACUUUAGAUCUAGGUUCAUACGCAUAACUUAAUCAAACCAUAUCAAAAAAAUCUCAAACCUAAAACUCACGUUUGCAUGAAAUGCACUUGAUUAAGGACGGCAUAAAGGCUGUUAAGAAAUACAUAAAUCACUACUGUGUUGCACCCCGUUUUAGGGGUAAAGGGUAAUACGAGAGUCAAAACUAUAACCUGUCUACCUUUUGCUCUUAACCUCCUGUGCUCGGAUUCAGGAGCUAUGGCUCAUAGACGGUCUACACCUGACGAUAGGAGGAAAAAGCAGAGCUCUGCCUAAAAAUCUAUAAACCAAAUACAGAUGGAAAAAAUAAAAACAAACUCGAUCUGAUCAUCUGCUCCUGUGUCCACAAGAAGUCAUGGACUGGAUGAACAUGUUUCUACAGCCUGGUUUGUUCUCUUUGCUCAGCUUCACUAUCAACAUAUUCAAAUCUGACCAGCAUAAAAAUUAAGUUGAUGCUGGUAUAUAAGAUUGGGUUAAAGUGGGUCUGGGCUUUUUGUCCCUAAAGCUGCUCUCUCAUAAGAACUCAUGUUUGUCUUAUUUCAUUCACAAGGCUGCCACGCUGCUGUUUACUGUAUCAGUUUGUGUGUUUGUAUAAUCUCAUCAUCCCAUAGUGUUGUCCUUCCUUUGUCUCUGCUGAUGCUAGAGUCUCAUGUUAAAGAUGGUCUACUGGU